rnacentral:rRNA from 1 species
UACGAAGGGGGCUAGCGUUGUUCGGAUUUACUGGGCGUAAAGCGCGUGUAGGCGGGUCGUUAAGUUGGGGGUGAAAUCCCGAGGCUCAACCUCGGAACUGCCUUCAAAACUGGCGACCUGGAGCAAGAUAGAGGCGAGUGGAAUUGCGAGUGUAGAGGUGAAAUUCGUAGAUAUUCGCAGGAACACCAGUGGCGAAGGCGACUCGCUGGAUCUUUGCUGACGCUGAGACGCGAAAGCGUGGGGAGCAAACAGG